rnacentral:lncRNA from 1 species
GCCCCAAUCCGAAAAGACUCCAGCACGCGCACAUUUAAUGCCAAAAUAUCUGGGGGCGGCAGUGCGCAGGAUUCGAGGGGAUGAUUUUGGCUGUGCCCAUCUCUCUCUGUACUUCCUUCGUUCGAAAUUCAAACUCGGAAGUAGGGGGACUGGUGUUGGGUAUAAAAUACCCACAGCCAAAGUCCUCAGUAGAAUCUGCUC